rnacentral:lncRNA from 1 species
UCCUAUAUUCUAAAAAGAUAUUUUUAUUUUUUGAAAGGACCAAAAACCAACAUCUUAAGUUCUCUGAUCCUUCUAACUCACUUGCAACAUCUUAAAUGAAUCGUAUAUUGCUAAAAUUUUAUAAAUAAAGCAAACUAUUUCACACUUAGAUGUUAACUUCUGAUGAUAUACAAAAGCAAAUCUUAUGCCAACAGGCUACAGUCUUGUGAAUAUAAAGUGAUGCUUAACCCAAUGCUAACUAUUCAGGCAGAUAAUUAUUUUUAACAUAAAACAAGAAGAUUUUAUUUAAGGUAGAAUUUUUUUACAAUAUCACAACUCUCUAAAGAACAAACAUCGUAGAACUGGACUUGCUGAAGAACAAACUCUCCUUCCCUCUGUUCUUGCAAAUGGGUCGGGGAGUUGACUGACUGACAUAUACCACGAGCUUUUCAACAACAAAACUUGUCAAUUUCUUCUUAAUUUAAGACCCAACAAAGACGUUUAGGAAAAAGGACAGAGACGACCUAAAUAACUUCAAACAAAACCCAACAAAAAAUGAAAUUAGACAAAUAAAGAAAUGAUUUAUCGAUUGAGAAUCGAUUUGGGGCUGGUUUAUUUCAAGAGCUUGGUUCUUCUGCACCCUUAAUUGAGAAGAAGAAUUGAUUUGGGGUUGGUUAUUUCUAGGGCUUGAUUCUUCUACUCCCUUCGAUCAAUUGAGAAGACUUCUGCUCCUUCUGGUUUGGCUGAGUUCUUCUGAUUUCUAUCGAGGAGAGAGGAGCUUAAAAAAAUACGGGAGUUGAGCUUUAAA